rnacentral:lncRNA from 1 species
GCUCUCCACUGACUUUACAGACACUCUCCGCUGAACUCCCGCACUCUCCCGGCCUCACGCCCGCCGCCUUCACCGAACCACACCCGCACAAUUCCGGAAGGUCUUUCCCGCCCCACGUCCCCCGCCGGCCACGCCGGGAAACACAGUCCCGGCACCGCAAGGCGGGUGGCUGCGCGCUCAGUCCGGAAGAUCCAUGACUGCAAGGAGGCUGCACACGGAGGCCGCCCUCCUCAGGGAUGACCGACACAUCUCAAAACUCAAUCCUCCCGCAACCUGCUGGGGCCACUUAACACUUGGAAGCUUGCCCCUGGUUUCCGUCCACGUGUGGGACUCUAGGAAAGGUCGGGCCAGGGUGUGAAGAAAACUCUACAUGAAAAUAAAAUAGAGCGUGGACAUCUCUGAUACUUGGCCACUGGUCCCCCGAUCACCAGAACAUUCACCUCCUUCAGUCGUAGACAACCCCUUCAAGGUGCCCACCAGCUCGGGAGGACCAUCUCAUGCCAGCUUUAACAGUCCUUGCCCAGGGUGCGU